CAACCGCACAAAUCUUUUCUUCUCACUCCUCUUCAUUGCUCCUCUCUCUCUCAUCUAAUCUUCUUUUCUUCUCCCUCCUCUUCACUGCUCCUUUCUCUCUCAUCUAAUCUUCUAAUCUUCUAAUCUUCUAAUCUAUCUAAGCUCGAAAAAGUUAGGGUUUUGGAUAUGGUUGAGCAUGCAGAAUUGUUGAUUUCAUCGAGUUUUCAGGGUUCCCAAAAUUCUCGAUUAAAUAUGAAAUCAAGAGAUACGAGCGUUUAUGAUUUCACGGAAGAUGACGAAUUGACCGAAACCCUUCAGUAGGUUCCCAAAAUUCUCGAUUAAAUAUGAAACCAAGAGAUAUGAGCGUUUAUGAUUUCACGGAAGAUGACGAAUUGACCGAAACUCUUCAGCAGGUUCCCAAAAUUCUCGAUUAAAUAUGAAACCAAGAGAUAUGAGCGUUUAUGAUUUCACUGAAGAUUGACCGAAACUCUUCAGCAUUCAACUUCCCGGGACUACUCAAGAUCAUCUUGAGAUAUUUAAUGUUGAAUCAAAAGCAAAGAUAAAGUCCUAUCAAAUGCCUGAGAUGGAAGAUGGAUAUGAUUUGGAUAUGACAUAUAUUACUGAGAAUAUUCUUGCUAUGGGAUUAUGAGCUCAGGAUUUUUUGGAUAGCUAGAGGGUUUAUAUUGUAAUCAUAUGGAGGAAGUGAUCAACUUCUUAGAAAGCCAUCAAGCUUGAUUUCCAGGAAUAAUUUUGGACAUACUAGAUCAACUAUCCGGAAGUGGUGUAUUUUCAAGGCCACACAUUGAUUUUUCCUCGAAUUUCUCAAGAAACCUCGAAUUUCAUUUGGAAGAACAAGAGAGAAAAGAUGGAUGUUGUGCAACUUCUUCAGAGGCAAUUUAUCGAUUACAUGAAGUCUCUAUUUAUGGAGGAAAUGCGAAUUAGAGGAGAGAAAAAUUUAAACGAUCGAGUUUGAAGGUGAGCGAUCCUCAACCUUCCGCCAACAAAUUUCUUCACUAUUACGACGAAUCGGAGCGAUUCGAAUUCUUAUGAAACUGGUUACCCUUUCUAUCCAAAGACCUCUGUCAUCACUGCACCUUCACUUUCUCUCAUCGCAUCCGCUCUCUCUCUCCUCGUAUAUUUUCUUACAUCUCCGCCUUUUCCUUUCUUUUAAAUUUUUAAUCUUAUGAUGUUUGCUUUUGUUUUUGAAUUAGGUUUAAUUUACUUGAGUUUUUCAAAAUUUGCGCUUUUUUUCUGUUCAUCUUGAUACCAAAGAAUUUAGCAGCUGAAACUUUUUCUUUCCGUGUCUUGAUUUAAGUUUUUGUUAUUGUGUUUUCUAUGUUGGAUUACCAAUUAAUGGUUUGAUGAAUUGGCUGUUUCUCUUUACAAAGCUUUUGAUGCAAAGAAAUUGUGAUUGAUAUCUAUUAGAAGUGUUGAGAUUAUUGUUCAACUGGUUUCGUUAGUUUGAUUUUACUUUACUAGGGAAAAAUGAGAUUGAUUAUACUUCACGUGUUUAAAGAGGUAUAUCAAGAUUAAUUGCUUUUUCGAACAAUUGUAGACUGGGGAAUGCGGUUGAUUAGUGCGGUGUGAUAUCUGCUAAAAGGACUUUGCCUAGAAGAAUGAAAAUCUUAGACCUUUUAAAAGUUGGAAGCCUGCAAAUCUUAUGAUGUUGGUACUUCCAUUGAUGUUGGUACUUCCAACUUUAAAAAGAGAGAAAAGAUACUUUGCUUAGAAGAAUGAAAAUCUUAAACCUGCAAAUAUUAUUGUGUUUUCUGUGUUGGAUUACCAAUUACUAUCUAUUUGCAGGUUACAUGAACCACCCUAUGUUAAGACGUCCAUCCUAUCCAUCUUAUGUCAGAAAAGGUUUGCAGGUUUUGUAAAUUAGCUUAAGCUUACAUGAUAUCUAAUUUAGCAACAUUUUCCCUGGUAAACUUGACAUGUUUAUGAUGCUCGUGUGCUGAACAUAUUCCAGAUUUCAAGUUGUUUAAUGUUGUAAGUACUACUACAAAAGUUUUGCCUCUAUUAGAGCAUUAUUUUCCCUUUAGAACCUGGCACAUUUAAAAACAAUGGGAAAAAGAAACAUACAAAAGAAGUUUUUUAGCCUAACCCUCGGUUUUGUUUUACAUCUCUUUCUUCUUCUACCUUCAUUCAUUUCAAUUUCCUAUCUAAAAAAUUGACAAAUCAUAUUUCCAUCAUCAUCAAUUUCAUCAAAUUACCUUUCUGAAUUUGAUAAUUCAAUUAACAAGAGUUGUUAGAGAACAAAAAUCAAAGAAUUUGCUAUCAAAUUUAUCUUCUUUCUACAACACCCAAGACCUGGAUCUUCCAAAAAUUUCAAAGGGUUGGUUGUUUACUACAAAUUUUAACCAAAUUUGUAGCCUUUACAUGUUUAAGUAAGAAUUUAGAAUUCAAUUUAUAUGAUUUUGAGUGGUAAGUUGAAAAUAUUGAGAAAUUGGGGGUUCAGUUGACCCACUGAAUCCCUUGGGGUGGUUGUGAUGGAUGAAGAAGUAUGUCGCAGUGAUUACGGUGAGCUGUUGGAUGAGUUGCCAUCAUCUUCGCCGUCUAUCAGUUCGGGGUUUUGUCCUCGGCAGCUGGUUUUCUGUCCAUAUCAAUCGAGUAAUGAGCCUACGACUUUAAGGGUUGUGGUUAGAAAACCGUUGGUAUCGAAACUUACGAAGCACAUAGUUAGAACGUAUCAAUGUUCAAUGAUGGCCAUGAUAAUUCACAGACACAGCAAAGGUGUGUUUUUUUUGUGAUUAUUUUGCAUUGGGUAGUUCCUCCCCCUUCCGCACGUUCCUGAUUGUAGCAUUACUUGAAAUUAUUAUAGAAGCAGGAUGCUACUGUUGAUGACACUUGACAAUGAAAUGUAAGAACUUUAGAUACUAAUUUUACAAAUAUGACAGUUCUGUUAGAAACUUGGGAGUUCAGGAGAAGGGAUAAAAAGGUGUGAGUGGAUGGUUGUGUUAAGUUAUGCAGGUGCCAUUAGUUAGUUGUGGUAUUUCUCAGGUAAGGUUUUUUGGUUGGAGGUGGUGGCCGGAUAAUUUCAAGGAUGUGGGGGGUACCCGGUAAUAAGCUGCAUUUGAAGUGUGGGAACCAUCAAGGUCUCUAUCUUAAUGACAAAAGUCAGUAGUUAGUGUUAGUGCGUGCAGCACUUGAUUGAUUUGUGUGAGGCAUGUGGGGAGCAUAUGGACAAUGCUAUCGGAAUAUAAAUCAAUUUCACAUUGCUACUCAAGGGAGGUCAAUCUUCUCUUCUAUUCUUUUAAGGCCAGGUGUGAAGUAGUAUGCACUUUGCAAGGACAUGGGAAGCUUCUAAUGAGAAAGUGGCCAUUUUUUGACUUUAUUCCAAAUGAGGUUUCAUAUCAAGGGGAGAAGUCAAAUCUAUGUGAUAGCUAGAGGUAAUGGGACCCUGAGAUUGGGUUGUGUAGCAGAAGGGGACAUUAGUGGGGACUACCAGCUAUGCAGAUUCGUUACUGUUUCCUCAACCACUCAUGAAUACUCUGCUGCCAGAGAAUGCAGAUGAGGCUCUUCAUGAGGUGGUAACUUAUACUUUUCCACUUCCCACCAAUGAUGAUAAGGCUAAACAUGCGAGGGCCUAGGUUUGAGAGUGAACAUGAGUGAUUCCAGGGACAAGAUUAUUAUUUGGACAAGUUUAGCCUAGAAUAAUGCCUUUAACAACAUGCAGUUAUGUUGUAUUUGCUUUGAACUGCACUAUGCAUGGUUAGUUUAAUAUAGCCGGUUCCCUCUAAAUUUCAUGUUUGAGUGUCGGUUCUUAGUUUGGGUUAAUAUCUGCUUAAAUGUAUGCAUUGUUGGGAUUUAGGGCAUUCUUGGUUGGCUCUUAAUUGUGUAGGUGUGUUGGUUAACUUCAAUAUCUCACCAAUUCACACAACAUCCAUUAUUUGCAACGAAGUACUAGAUGUGCCAUUAGUGGGUGUUUCAAAGGAUUCAACCUUUUGAGUAAUGUGAUUGAUUUUUUUAAAGUGGUUUUGUGUAAAGUUUCAAUCUAUAGUGUCAAAUAUUUGAUUUCAUUUCAGUGUACGAGUUUAUUCAAUAUAGCAUCUCAAUUUUAUUUGAUUUCAAGCGAUUAUUUAAUAUGAAUUUAUUCAACGUUGCAUCUCUUGGUGACCACUCAAAAACAGCUAUUUAAUGGAGAGCCUCGUGUACAAAGCCUCCGCCUAUAUUAUGCAGACUCCACCUGAUAACUGCGUGCCCAUCGCAACUGCCAAUGCGUACAAAAUAGCUAGGCCCUGUUACCUUUGGUUAAUAAUGCUUGAGUUUGAACCCUUUCCUUCACCAUUAUCUUUUUACUUAUCUGGAGUAGCACUACUGUACUUUUGGUGUUUUAAAAAUGCAGGUAAUCGCCCUGCUGUUGUCAAUCGCGUUCCAUAUGCAAGCCUUUUACCCCAAAGAGACAGAUCCAUGGUACAGGGUCAGGAUACUUAUUCAUCAGGAGAUCUGUUCCUUUUGUCGCUAGCGUCCUUUUAAAAGCUUGUAAGGAGUCAGAUGAUGAAUCAGAUAUGGAAAUUAUUUUGGCUGGUUUGGCUUCUCUGAAUGAUGAAAUCCAG